AUACGGAGGGUGCAAGCGUUAAUCGGAAUUACUGGGCGUAAAGCGUACGUAGGCGGACUGAUCAGUUGGGGGUGAAAUCCCAGGGCUUAACCCUGGAACUGCCUUCAAUACUGUCAGUCUUGAGAUUGGAAGAGGUGAGUGGAAUUCCUAGUGUAGAGGUGAAAUUCAUAGAUAUUAGGAGGAACACCAGUGGCGAAGGCGGCUCACUGGUCCAAUACUGACGCUGAGGUACGAAAGCGUGGGGAGCAAACAGGAUUAGAAACCCUAGUAGUCC
rnacentral:rRNA from 1 species